rnacentral:rRNA from 1 species
CAAUAGCGUAUAUUAAAGUUGUUGCAGUUAAAAAGCUCGUAGUUGAAUUUCGGGUCCCCGCGCUCGGCGCUUCAUUGUGCCGUCGUGGUGUCCCUCCUCGCCGUCAGGCGUCCUUUACUGUGAAAAAAUUAGAGUGUUCAAAGCAGGCAGCCGCUUGAAUACAUUAGCAUGGAAUAAUGAGAUAGGAUCUUGUCUAUUUUGUUGGUUGCGGACAAUGAUAAUGAUUAAUAGGGAUAGUUGGGGGUGUCCGUAUUGAGCUGUCAGAGGUGAAAUUCUUGGAUUUGCUCAAGACGAACUACUGCGAAAGCAUUCACCAAGGAUGUUUNCAUUAA